rnacentral:rRNA from 1 species
GCCCGCGGAAUUCAGCCCGUCCGUGACGUGCGUCGUCGCCGUGCCCGGAUCCUCACGGACCGGCUCGGCGGCGAGCGUGCGCCGCGGCGGGUGCCCAUUCCGCGGGUUGAGCGCCACGACCGGUUCGCCGGCGGUCUCUAGCCCCGGGAGAAGGUGAUCGAGGCGGUGCGUUCGCGCUCCGUCGCGGAGUUAUAGCUCUCGGCGGCGUUGGCCCGCCGGUGGACCGAGGAACAUCUCGUUGCCCGCCGCGGCGCGUGCGCCGGCCCCCGGCGUCGAUCGUUCAACCGUGUGAAGACUGUCCUCAGUGUUCGCCGACCGCGGUCGCUCGGGGAGUCAGGCUUCUACACGCGCUCAC